rnacentral:rRNA from 1 species
GCAAGUCGAACGAUAACAUUUCUAGCUUGCUAGAAGAUGACGAGUGGCGGACGGGUGAGUAAUGCUUGGGAAUUUGCCUUUAGGUGGGGGACAACAGUUGGAAACGACUGCUAAUACCGCAUGAUAGCUACGGCUCAAAGGGGGCUUCGGCUCUCGCCUUUAGAGAAGCCCAAGUGGGAUUAGAUAGUUGGUGAGGUAAAGGCUCACCAAGUCAACGAUCCCUAGCUGGUCUGAGAGGAUGAUC